UUCUCUCAAAUACAUUAGUUUCAUUUUGGUAUUAGAGCUUUCAAUUUAUUAGGGCAGGCUUUAAUACUGUUUAUGUGCACUGGUCAUGCGCACUAUUCACAGGUACUGUUCAUGCAUAGUGUUCACAGAUAAUGUUUACAAGUACUGUUCAUCGGCACAGUUCAUAGCACGUGGACCUCAGACUUUUUCAAUUGUUCCUCGUGUGUUGUGCUUCUAUCCAGCCGUUAUCCUUGAUCUGACCACAAGUGAAUAUGUCUGAAACAGUGGAUUACUUUGAAAGAACAAAAGAUAUUGGCAUUUUUUUAAUAAAGAAGUUUAAUUCCUAAGGCGUCUGUUUUCUCAGCUUGAAUCUCAAUCUUUCACAGUUGGAUCUUCCAAUUUUGUCAAAUCAGGUAAUGCUUUUCUUGCCAAAGUUGAAAAAUCUCUUUGAGUUAUAGAUUUUGGAGCAA
rnacentral:misc_RNA from 1 species